GACCUAGGUCUGUUGGAGGUCUGAGGGGCUGACCUAGGUCUGUUGGAGGUCUGAGGGGCUGACCUAGGUCUGUUGGAGGUCUGAGGGGCUGACCUAGGUCUGUUGGAGGUCUGAGGGGCUGACCUAGGUAUGUUGGAGGUCUGAGGGGCUGACCUAGGUAUGUUGGAGGUCUGAGGGGCUGACCUAGGUCUGUUGGAGGUCUGAUGGGCUGACCUAGGUCUGUUGGAGGUCUGAGGGGCUGACCUAGGUCUGUUGGAGGUCUGAUGGGCUGACCUAGGUCGGUUGGAGGUCUCAGAGGGGCUGACCUAGGUCUGUUGGAGGUCUGAGGGGCUGACCUAGGUCUGUUGGAGGUCUGAGGGGCUGACCUAGGUCUGUUGGAGGUCUGAGGGGCUGACCUAGGUCUGUUGGAGGUCUGAGGGGCUGACCUAGGUAUGUUGGAGGUCUGAGGGGCUGACCUAGGUCUGUUGGAGGUCUGAGGGGCUGACCUAGGUCUGUUGGAGGUAUCAGAGGGGCUGACCUAGGUCUGUUGGAGGUAUCAGAGGGCCUGACCUUGGUCUGUUGGAGGUAUCAGAGGGGCUGACCUAGGUCUGUUGGAGGUAUCAGAUGGGCAGAGCAUACCAGCAUGGUCAAAGCCAUAUUGGUUUCAUUUAGGCCUAGUAACCGAAAAUGUUAGUCAUAUUAUAUUGCAUUGUUGGUCUUGUUUGUGCGUUUCUGAGCGAUUUUCGAUCAAUUCCCGGGUUCACUUAAUGUUUUCGUGUGUAUCUGAGCAGGCAGAAAUGCAGCCUUUGUGACACAUUUUUUAUCAUGCAAAGUUUACCUGCAACAUGUACUGAUAAAGAGGAAUAUGUAGACCCACGAUUGUUCUGCUAUGGGGAGCAAAGUUCUAUAUUAGUUUCUACAGAGAGUGUGGUGGUUGAACCAUUCCCUAUAACCAAUUAGUAGGAACUGUCAAUGGGUAGGGGCUCUGGGUCUAUCUGUGAUUGACUGGAGGAACUGUCAAUGGGUAGGGGCUCUGGGUCUAUCUGUGAUUGACUGGAGGAACUGUCAAUGGGUAGGGGCUUUGGGUCUAUCUGUGAUUGACUGGAGGAACUGUCAAUGGGUAGGGGCUCUGGGUCUAUCUGGGAUUGACUGGAGGAACUGUCAAUGGGUAGGGCCUCUGGGUCUAUCUGUGAUUGACUGGAGGGGCUCUAGGUCUAUCUGUGAUUGACUGGAGGGGCUCAGGAUCUAUCUGGGAUUGACUGGAGGAACUGUCGAUUGGUAGGGGCUCUGGGUCUAUCUGGGAUUUGACUGGAGGACUAUUUAAAACCCAUUUGUACUGUGUGUUGGGGCAAAGGUCACCAACCAUCUAUUCUCUGGUACAUUUUCACCCCAACCAUCACAUACCACAACCAGAGUUGAGCUCAAUUCCAGUUAAUUCAGAGAGUACACCCGAUUAAAAAGCAUUGAAGAGAAUUGGAAUUUCAGUGUACUUCCUAAAUUGACUGGAAUUUAAAUGGAAUUGACCACAACACAUUCCGCCAAGCGGAGUUGAGAGGCUAGGCGGAGUUGAGAGGCUAGGCGGAGUUGAGAGGCUAGGCGGAGUUGAGAGGCUAGGCGGAGUUGAGAGGCUAGGCGGAGUUGAGAGGCUAGGCGGAGUUGAGAGGCUA